GACGAACGCUGGCGGCGUGCUUAACACAUGCAAGUCGAACGGUGAAGCGCUUGCCUUUUUGGUGGGUGUGGAUGAUUGGCGAACGGGUGAGUAACACGUGAGUAACCUGCCCUCUUCUUCUUUAUAACCUCAUGAAAGUGGGGCUAAUACGUUGUAUUCCGGGUCUGUCGCAUGGCGGGUUUGGGAAAGAUUGCUCCUUUGGGUGUUUUCGUUGGGGGAUGGGCUCGCGGCCUAUCAGCUUGUUGGUGGGGUGAUGGCCUACCAAGGCGGUGACGGGUAGCCGGGGUGAGAGGGGGGACGGCCACACUGGGAGUGAGACACGGGCCAGAGUACUGCGGGAGGGAGCAGAGGGGAAUAUGGCACAAUGGGCGCAAGAGUGAUGCAGCGAGGCGGCGUGAGGGAGGGAGGCCUUCGGGUGGUGAACAUCUUUCGCCAGUGAAGCAGGCCUGCUUCGGUGUGGGUGGGUUGACGGUAGCUGGAGAAGAAGCGCCGGCUAACUACGUG
rnacentral:rRNA from 1 species